rnacentral:rRNA from 1 species
ACGCACGCUGGCGGCGUGCUUAACACAUGCAAGUCGAACGGAAAGGCCCCUUUGGGGGUACUCGAGUGGCGAACGGGUGAGUAACACGUGAGUAACCUGCCCUUGACUUCGGGAUAACUUCAGGAAACUGGGGCUAAUACCGGAUAGGAAUCCUUGCUGCAUGGUGGGGGUUGGAAAGCUUCGGCGGUUUUGGAUGGACUCGCGGCUUAUCAGCUUGUUGGUGGGGUAGUGGCUUACCAAGGCUUUGACGGGUAGCCGGCCUGAGAGGGCGACCGGCCACAUUGGGACUGAGAUACGGCCCAGACUCCUACGGGAAGCAGCAGUGGGGAAUAUUGCACAAUGGGCGGAAGCCUGAUGCAGCAACGCCGCGUGCGGGAUGACGGCCUUCGGGUUGUAAACCGCUUUCAGCAGGGGCGAAGCUUGUGGUGACGGUACCUGCAGAAGAAGCACCGGCUAACUACGUG